UUUAACAUUAUUAAUAAGAGAAAAAAUAAACAAUAAUUUUAAUACACUUUGGAUUCAAUAUAUUAUACCUAUAAAGUACAUAUUUCAAUAUAUGUGGUGAAUAUAUAGAGCUAAAAUAUUUUCAGUAUAAAUGUAGUAUAAGUAUUGUAUAUGAAUUUUAAAGAACCCAUUAUAAUUUAAAUUAGUUUUUGUUGUUAGAAAUAUAUUAUAUUUAUUAUGAAAUAAUAAUUUUCAAAAUCAUAAAAAUGUAUCAUAUUGAAUUCUAAUUGUAUUACAACCAUCGUUUACGUUUAAUAUAAUUUUAAUACAAAUCACACUCCUACCACAUCAUACUCCACCCUUUUCCAUCACCACCACCAAACUCCAGUCAGAGCUACACUACCACCAACAGAUUUGUCAACUCCCUUUGUGCAAUUUCUUGGGUGAACCAGCCACUAAACAGCCAACAAGCAACUCUCGUCUUCUCUGUUGAACUCACGUCGCCAGAACAAUCAAUAGCUUCGCUACCAACUUCAUUGACAGAUCUUUUGGCUUCUUCAUUUUCUCCGGUGAGGAGAUUUAAGCUCCGAUGAACCGCAGGAAACCAACAAAGACAAAAACCCCCUUCCUUUUCAACUCUCCACACCGUUUUUUCAUGGAUUAAAACUCCAACAAUAAAUUAAAAUUAUUGAAAUGAAUUUUUCGGCCCGAUCUGAAAAAGUCAACAGGAUUCCUGGAAUAUCAUCUGAAGAAAACCCAUGAAAGAGAAAAGGGAAAAGGGGAUGUUGUUAGUUUGUUAGCUCCGACUCACUGGAGCUUGAUGCUCCUUGCCGGAACUAUGUAAAAAUGGAGAGACAAUGAGCUGUGUAGGUUGUCAUUGCGUUGAUUAUUGAUUACUCCGGCAUCAUGAGUUCACCGAAGAAGAAGAGGAGGACGAGAGAAGGGAGAGACAAAGUGAAGAAUAAGAAGCGAGUUUGGUAAUUAAAACUAAAGCUAAGCUGUGAAGCAUAAUAAAUUAAAAGUUAUACUAUACACAUCAAUAAAAAUGCAUUAAAAAUAUUAUGUAAAAUUUUUAAAAUAAAAUACACUUUAUUCUAGGAGAAAGG
rnacentral:lncRNA from 1 species